GCUCAACCGGGGGGGGUCAUUGGAAACUGGGGAACUUGAGUGCAGAAGAGGAGAGUGGAAUUCCACGUGUAGCGGUGAAAUGCGUAGAGAUGUGGAGGAACACCAGUGGCGAAGGCGACUCUCUGGUCUGUAACUGACGCUGAGGCGCGAAAGCGUGGGGAGCGAACAGGAUUAGAUACCCUGGUAGUCCACGCCGUAAACGAUGAGUGCUAAGUGUUAGAGGGUUUCCGCCCUUUAGUGCUGCAGCAAACGCAUUAAGCACUCCGCCUGGGGAGUACGGUCGCAAGACUGAAACUCAAAGGAAUUGACGGGGGCCCGCACAAGCGGUGGAGCAUGUGGUUUAAUUCGAAGCAACGCGAAGAACCUUACCAGGUCUUGACAUCCUCUGACAACCCUAGAGAUAGGGCUUCCCCUUCGGGGGCAGUGUGACAGGUGGUGCAUGGUUGUCGUCAGCUCGUGUCGUGAGAUGUUGGGUUAAGUCCCGCUACGAGCGCAACCCUUGAUCUUAGUUGCCAGCAUUCAGUUGGGCACUCUAAGGUGACUGCCGGUGACAAACCGGAGGAAGGUGGGGAUGACGUCAAAUCAUCAUGCCCCUUAUGACCUGGGGCUACACACGUGCUACAAUGGGCAGAACAAAG
rnacentral:rRNA from 1 species